rnacentral:rRNA from 1 species
CCUACGGGCGGCAGCAGUGAGGAAUAUUGGUCAAUGGGCGCGAGUCUGAACCAGUCAAGUAGCGUGAAGGAUGACUGCCCUACGGGUUGUAAACUUCUUUUAUAUAGGAAUAAAGUGAUCCACGUGUGUGCUUUUGUAUGUACCUUAUGAAUAAGGAUCGGCUAACUCCGUGCCAGCAGCCGCGGUAAUACGGAGGAUCCGAGCGUUAUCCGGAUUUAUUGGGUUUAAAGGGAGCGUAGGUGGAUUGUUAAGUCAGUUGUGAAAGUUUGCGGCUCAACCGUAAAAUUGCAGUUGAUACUGGCAGUCUUGAGUACAGUAGAGGUAGGCGGAAUUCGUGGUGUAGCGGUGAAAUGCUUAGAUAUCACGAAGAACUCCGAUUGCGAAGGCAGCUUACUGGACUGCAACUGACAUUGAGGCUCGAAAGUGUGGGUAUCAAACAGGAUUAGAUACCCCGGUAGUC